GGGAGGGGAGGGGGGAAGAGAGGAGGAAGGAGGAAGGAGCUGAGGAGGGAUGAGAGAGGCGGCCAGGGCCCCGGGCCGUAGCAGCGCGGGGCUGGGGGACCAGGGGGGCUGAGACACCCCAACUGCCCCCUUCCCCUUUCCCUCUCCCCCUCUAUCCUUUCCUUCCACCCUCCCGCUUGAGGAGGGGGAUUUAUUCAAAUUUUAUUUAAAUCCCUAUCUCCCGAGGGUCGCGCGCUUGGGGGAGGGGGAGAGGUCGGGGGUGCGCGCGGGCUGGGGGGGGCGGGGCCGGAGCAGCUUCCUUCACCUCCCCCUCCGCUCGCCUCGCAGCCGUAGGGCAGGGGGUCGCAGUCCAGGGGCGGGCCCAGGGGAGGGGGGCAGGUUACAGCGACCCCCCCCUCCCCGGGAACCGGCGGUGGGCGGGCUUGAACCCCGG
rnacentral:lncRNA from 10 species